rnacentral:rRNA from 1 species
UACGGAGGGUGCAAGCGUUAUCCGGAUUCACUGGAUUUAAAGGGUGCGUAGGUGGGCCGGUAAGUCAGUGGUGAAAUCUCCGAGCUUAACUCGGAAACUGCCGUUGAUACUAUUUGUCUUGAAUAUUGUGGAGGUAAGCGGAAUAUGUCAUGUAGCGGUGAAAUGCUUAGAUAUGACAUAGAACACCAAUUGCGAAGGCAGCUUACUACACAACGAUUGACGCUGAGGCACGAAAGCGUGGGGAGCAAACAGG